CCCUUAGAUGUUCUGGGCUGCACGCGCGCUACACUGAAGCUAUCAACACGUUUUCCCUCCCUGAGAAGGGCGGGUAACCUUUUGAAUCAGCUUCGUGGUAGGGAUCGGGGCUUGCAAUUGUUCCCCGUGAACCAGGAAUUCCUAGUAGACGCGAGUCAUAAGCUCGCAUCGAUUAAGUCCCUGCCCUUUGUACACACCGCCCGUCGCUACUACCGAUUGAACGUUUUAGUGAGGCAUUUAGACCGACGCAUCUCAGUUUAACCGCUGGUUUGUGUUGGAAAGACUUCCAAACUUGAGCGUUUAGAGGAAGUAAAAGUCGUAACA
rnacentral:rRNA from 1 species